GGGCUCGUAGCUCAGUUGGUUAGAGCGCACGCCUGAUAAGCGUGAGGGCGUUGGUUCAAAUCCAACCGAGCCCAC
rnacentral:tRNA from 1 species